rnacentral:rRNA from 1 species
GGUUAAGCGACUAAGCGUACACGGUGGAUGCCCUGGCAGUCAGAGGCGAUGAAGGGCGUGCUAAUCUGCGAUAAGCGCCGGUAAGGUGAUAUGAACCGUUAUAACCGGCGAUACCCGAAUGGGGAAACCCAGUGUGACUCGUCACACUAUCAUUAACUGAAUCCAUAGGUUAAUGAGGCGAACCGGGGGAACUGAAACAUCUAAGUACCCCGAGGAAAAGAAAUCAACCGAGAUUCCCCCAGUAGCGGCGAGCGAACGGGGAGGAGCCCAGAGCCUGAAUCAGCAUGUGUGUUAGUGGAAGCGUCUGGAAAGGCGCGCGAUACAGGGUGACAGCCCCGUACACAAAAGCGCAUGUGUUGUGAGCUCGAUGAGUAGGGCGGGACACGUGGUAUCCUGUCUGAAUAUGGGGGGACCAUCCUCCAAGGCUAAAUACUCCUGACUGACCGAUAGUGAACCAGUACCGUGAGGGAAAGGCGAAAAGAACCCCGGCGAGGGGAGUGAAAAAGAACCUGAAACCGUGUACGUACAAGCAGUGGGAGCACAGGUUUACCUGUGUGACUGCGUACCUUUUGUAUAAUGGGUCAGCGACUUAUAUUCUGUAGCAAGGUUAACCGAAUAGGGGAGCCGGAGGGAAACCGAGUCUUAAUUGGGCGUUAAGUUGCAGGGUAUAGACCCGAAACCCGGUGAUCUAGCCAUGGGCAGGUUGAAGGUUGGGUAACACUAACUGGAGGACCGAACCGACUAAUGUUGAAAAAUUAGCGGAUGACCUGUGGCUGGGGGUGAAAGGCCAAUCAAACCGGGAGAUAGCUGGUUCUCCCCGAAAGCUAUUUAGGUAGCGCCUCGUGAAUUCAUCUCCGGGGGUAGAGCACUGUUUCGGCUAGGGGGCCAUCCCGGCUUACCAACCCGAUGCAAACUGCGAAUACCGGAGAAUGUUAUCACGGGAGACACACGGCGGGUGCUAACGUCCGUCGUGAAGAGGGAAACAACCCAGACCGCCAGCUAAGGUCCCAAAGUCAUGGUUAAGUGGGAAACGAUGUGGGAAGGCCCAGACAGCCAGGAUGUUGGCUUAGAAGCAGCCAUCAUUUAAAGAAAGCGUAAUAGCUCACUGGUCGAGUCGGCCUGCGCGGAAGAUGUAACGGGGCUAAACCAU